rnacentral:rRNA from 1 species
AUGAUCACGGCGGUUCAGCUGGACGACCAGCACGCCGACCGCAUCGCCUGGUCCUGGGAGAAGGACGGCACCUUCUCGGCCAAGUCGGCUUACGCGGCCAAGUUUGCAGCCCGGGAGGUGUCACCCACCGCGGCAUUCACGGGGCGCUCCCGGACACCGCUCCGGUGCCGCUUCUUCGCAUGGCUUGCGACCAUGAACAACUGCUGGACAUCGGACUGGUUAGCACGGAGAGGGCUACCGCACCAAGACGCUUGCCCUUUCUGCGAUCAGCACGAGGAAACGAUUAGCCACAUGCUCAUUGAGUGUGUUUUGGCGAGGGAAGUAUGGGCCAAGGUGUUCACGGCCAUGGGCGUUCCGCACGGCGCCCCUCAUGUUGGAGAGCCUCUGCCAGAUUGGUGUGCCCGGCAGGAUACCCACGGGCGGCCAGCAAGGACGAUGCGGACCCUGUGCCUUCUUGUCAUGUGGGAGCUUUGGAAGCACCGGAAUGCCAUCGUCUUCGACGGGGCGACAGUCAGCCUUCAGCAGAUUAUGCACCGGAUUGCGAGCGAGAGUAAGGUGUGGAGACAGGCGGAACUGCUAAGAGGAGCGUUGGAUGCGUUCUUCGUGGAGGCACUCAAGUGGGCUCGCCGCGAGUAG